GACCGCGUAGCUCAGUUGGCAGAGCAUUGGGCUAGUAUUCCAAAGGUCGUAGGUUCAAUUCCCACCGUGGCA
rnacentral:tRNA from 1 species